rnacentral:rRNA from 1 species
UACAGAGGUGGCAAGCGUUGUUCGGAAUUACUGGGCGUAAAGGGCGCGUAGGCGGCCACGACAAGUCACUUGUGAAAUCUCCGGGCUUAACUCGGAAAGGUCAAGUGAUACUGUCGGGCUAGAGUGCAGAAGGGGCAACUGGAAUUCUCGGUGUAGCGGUGAAAUGCGCAGAUAUCAGGAGGAACACCGGUGGCGAAGGCGGGUCUCUGGGCCGAUACUGACGCUGAGGAGCGAAAGCGUGGGGAGCGAACAGG